CUAAUAUUUGUGUAAAUGAAGUAAGAACAGGUUACUAAAUAUGAAAUAUUAAUAAAAAUAACAAUAUUUCAAUUAAUUCAUGUACUUUUUUUCAUAAUUAUAUGAUAUGUUUCCAUUCUUUUCAGAAUUUAUCAAAGAUAACAAUAUAGAUUUUUCAUUAUUUAAAAACAUCAUUUCCUGUCAUACAAUAAAACUGAAAGAAAAUUUUUCAAAAUGUUUUGAAAAAUUUCCAGAUAAAGAAAUAAAUUGGUUCAUGAUCCAUUUUCAUUUGAUAUUUUUAAUUCUAGCAUCCCUUCAAAUGAAAAAACAAAUUGAUUUUUUGAAUGAUGAAAUAUUGUGCAUUCAAUUUAAAUCAUUGACUUGUCAAAAAUUUUGACUGUUGUUGGAAAUGAUUAUUCUGAAUUGAAGAAAAAGACAAUCAAAGUUGCCUUUUUCUUCAGUUCAGAAUUAGUUAAAUUCAUAUAAUGUCAAAAUUAAUUGUUAUUAAGAUGAAAUAUCAACCAUAAUUUUCAAGUUCAAAACUGUCCUAAAGCAGGGAACAAAAUCAUGAUGAAUUGCCAUCAUGACUAGAUCUAGAAAAUGAUUUACAGCUCAAAAUUUCCAAUAUAAUAUCGAAUAUAGAAGCUUUUAUGAGCUCUAUGAAAGUGCUUGUUUCACAUUAUUAUUAAAUUAAAUUUAUUUAUAUUAAAUAUGUUAAAAAUCUUUUUUCAUUUAAAAAUUUUUUGUCUGUAC
rnacentral:lncRNA from 1 species